rnacentral:lncRNA from 1 species
AAUCAAAUGUCUAAGCUCAGGGAGUAAUUACCGCAUGAUUCCUCAAAUGACUUGCUGCGAAUUGUUUACGAGUCUACUGUUUUGAAAGUUAAUCUAUUGACUCACAUUUCUCUCUAUGAUUUUCUAAAGAUAGAUUCCUGCGAGCUCGAAUUAAUAGACUUGGGUAGGCAAUGUAUGAAUUUUCCGAGAAAUGGAUUUUGUGAAAAUGUGGAUAUUAUAUUUACCGAACCAUGUUAUUAUGCUCGCUAAUGCUUUCUUAAAUGCAUCUCUUAUUGAUUUUCCAAAUAGUUGCGAUUAUUCAUGAAAGCUAGUUAUACUCUGGAUUGUUACUCGAUUUUGUGUUGCGAGAAACUGCAAAUGUUUAUAAGACAAGAUCUGAACUUUGGAAAUGCAUUUCACGAAAGAUCUGGAAUUGUUUGUCCAUUUUGUGCAAGCAUGUUAGCUCGUCAAAAUAAGCAAUUAAUUGUAUUCCACUUGAUUUAGCUUUGAUCGAUGGAUUUGGUGAUCGAAAUAUGUACACUUACUAAACAUGUCAUAUAUCUAACUUUGACGAAUUAUUGAUACGUGUGAGCAUGUCGAUUUGGUAG